GGCGGCGUGCUUAACACAUGCAAGUCGAGCGGAAAGGCCCUUCGGGGGUACUCGAGCGGCGAACGGGUGAGUAACACGUGAGUAACCUGCCCCUGACUCUGGGAUAAGCCUGGGAAACUGGGUCUAAUACCGGAUAUGACCAUUUCGGGCAUCCGAUGGUGGUGGAAAGUUUUUUCGGUUGGGGAUGGACUCGCGGCCUAUCAGCUUGUUGGUGGGGUAGUGGCCUACCAAGGCGACGACGGGUAGCCGGCCUGAGAGGGCGACCGGCCACACUGGGACUGAGACACGGCCCAGACUCCUACGGGAGGCAGCAGUGGGGAAUAUUGCGCAAUGGGCGGAAGCCUGAGCCAGCGACGCCGCGUGGGGGAUGACGGCCUUCGGGUUGUAAACCUCUUUCAGCAGGGACGAAGUUGACGUGUACCUGUAGAAGAAGCGCCGGCUAACUACCUGCCACCAGCCGCGGUAAUACGUAGGGCGCAAGCGUUGUCCGGAAUUAUUGGGCGUAAAGAGCUCGUAGGUGGCUUGUCGCGUCUGCCGUGAAAGCUUAGGGCUUAACCCUAGGUCUGCGGUGGAUACGGGCAGGCUAGAGGCUGGUAGGGGCAAGCGGAAUUCCUGGUGUAGCGGUGAAAUGCGCAGAUAUCAGGAGGAACACCGGUGGCGAAGGCGGCUUGCUGGGCCAGUUCUGACGCUGAGGAGCGAAAGCGUGGGGAGCGAACAGGAUUAGAUACCCUGGUAGUCCACGCUGUAAACGUUGGGCGCUAGGUGUGGGGUGCUUCCACGUGUCCCGUGCCGUAGCUAACGCAUUAAGCGCCCCGCCUGGGGAGUACGGCCGC
rnacentral:rRNA from 1 species